CUCUGACUUUACUUCAUAAUCACACGAUCUUUGGUUGACUUUGAAUCCAUAGUUUAGUAGUUCAUGUAAAGAAGUGGUAGGAAGAGGAAGGUUGGUAUUGCCCCUGGGUGGUGGGACCUUUUCCAGUGAAUUUUGCUUUUGUCUUAUUUCAGAUGAAUUGGAUGCUGCCCUCGUUCCCUUUGUGAACUUCAGUUGUGGGGCUUUUGCUGGCAUUCUGGCAUCCUUGGUAACUCAGCCCGCAGAUGUUGUCAAAACACACAUGCAGCUGUCACCGGAGAAAUUUCGGAGGAUUGACCAAACUGUCACAGUCAUUUUCAAAGAUUAUGGGCUAGUCGGCUUCUUCCAUGGUGGUGUUCCCCGUGCCCUUAGACGAACUCUGAUGGCAGCGAUGGCAUGGACAGUCUAUGAAGGGAUGAUGGCUAAGAUGGGUCUGAAGUCCUGAAAGAAUGGAAGGAGAAAGGAUGGAAUCAGCCUAUUUCCACCACCCUGUCCCCAUUGAAUGAUGAUGCUGUCUGUCCAUUUUGGGCAAAAAUGAUGUUUCUAAUCCAGAGGUCCAGGCAGAAUUGAUUCACUUUCUGCAGUCAGUAUACAAGAAAUGGAAGUAUUUGACCAUUUGAAGCAUUCCAAGGGGCCCAUCUUGCCAGUAAACUGACUUUGGGUUGGGGAUGGGUGAAGGUUUUUGUAUACCUUGCAAAUCUACCUGUUCAAGGCACGUGGUAUCCAGAAAAAAUGUCUCUGUGGAAUAAUCCUACUUGAGCCACCUGUGUGCAUCAGGAUGGCCUUUUGCGUAAGUCAGUUGGAGAAGCACUUGUGAUUGUAUAGUCAGGCCCAUGUCCUGAGCUGAGGAGAAUUUCUUUGAAUUGCAAUUUUAAUUUAUUGAGGGUCUGAUGAGUAGACAAAAGACCCUUACCGUAGCCAGUUUUGGUUUUUGGCAAACUAUAAGGGAGAAAAGAAACCCUUAUUUUCAUUGAGUCCUCAAUCCUUGUUCUGAAGGAUGGAUCAGUUUGGUUUCCUGCUUGUUCCCCGUCAAGUCAGUUCACUUCUGUUUUGGCUUAGAAAGAACAUGUUAUUUCUGCCAAGCUCCAAGCUAGUUCAACAAGCCGCUUUGACGUUUUUCAGCAGCUAAGGUGGGGAUGUAUGAAAUCAAGCACCUUGUCAUUCACAUUAUUGAAAGCUGUUUAGACUACUUAGUUCGUAUUGUCCCUUGCCGUAGAAUGAUACAGUUCCAUUGGGAAGGCAGGCAUCCUUUUAAUCUAGUACUUGUUGUAGUGAAAACUGCCUUCUGACUCCCUUUCAGAAUAGGAAAACUUUCUGUGUUCUCUGCUCUGAAUUUGCCAAAGAAGUAGACCCAAAGACCCUUUUCAAGAGGGAAGGUAUAAAGACUCAGUAUUGUUGGUCUAGAAGCAUCUUAGGGGAGGCUCUCUGAACGAACGACCCUUUCUCCAGUGCCAGGGAAGACUCAGAGCUGCUUUUGCAGAUUUCCCCAAAGGCUUAACUCAGGGAGUUUCCCAAACUUGGGGUAUUAAAGGGGACACAGACAACCAAGUUUACUUAUUCAGAGGUUAUAUCACUUACAAUUUUCUAUUGUGUUUCAUGUUAAAAUACCUUUCCCUGAUGGAUAAGUAUUGGGGGGGCGGUGAGGGGUGGAGAAAAAUGUCUUUUUCCAUCUAAGGACACAGAUGCAUUAUUUUGUCAUAUCCCCUAACUUCACACAAGCUGCUAUAUCUGUGUUCCUUUCUGUGCUGUGUCAAUAGGAGAGUAGGAACAGGCCCAGCUCUUGAGGAAUCUGAAAGGCAAGGCAGAUUUUGGUUUAGGUUUUUAAAGAAAAAGUAAUUUGCCCUUAAGAUGGCACUUCAUUUUUGGAAUAAUUUGGAUGAAGCCAACUUAAAGUGGUUAGGGAUAGGAUGUACCAUGAUUCUAAUUUUGGCAAAUGUGAUGCAUCCUUUGGGUCACUGAGAGAUUAUAGAGUUAUUUAUUACACUUUUUUUAGGCCUACGUUAAAUGUACCUCUUGUAAUCUAGUAGUUACUUAAUGGGUCUUCACUUCUGUUUCAAGAAGCAAUGCUCCAAUUUGCUUCGAAGCUGAUUUGACCUGGCUCAUUAUGGUGAAGUUCUUCAAGCCUUGUAACUGAUAUUUUUACAUCCCAAGAAAGGAAGAAAGCUGAGAUUUUAAUUUCUAAACCUUGGAAAUCUAAUUUGUAUUUCUCCAAUGCGUGUGAUUUCAAAACUGGUGAAAUGUAACUGACUAAAUACAGUCUUAACUCCAUAUGUUGUUCAUGUUUGUGGCAUUACAUCAAAAUAAAACCUAAUAGAAAUGA